CGCGCCGCCACUGAUCCAGGGCUCCUCAACCCUGCAAGCCGUCAUCCUGCCUGCGAACAAGGACAAAAAUUCAGGUUGUCGAAGAAAAAUUCAGGCUGACAGGACACCAUGUCAACUGCUAUUGUUUGCUGCACAAUCAAGGAAAUUUUUGGCUGAUUCUACUAAAUUUCUGUUUGGUAUAGUGUUGCAUGAAUCAGAAAAAAUCUGAUUGAAGGAUCUAAUAUUUGAGGACUCCUGCUCUGCUGGUGACUACUUCACUCCAGUUAUUCAAGAUAAUCAUGAUUUCAACUUGGUGUUACUGGUACCGACUUACAGGAGUAGAGAUUAAAAUUUCAGAAACCUGGCAAUCGAAAAAAUGAACUCUAUAGAUUUUGGUUUUUAGGAGUUUGGAAUUUCAAGUUGAUGGUUGUGAGCGGCAGUCGUAGCAGCAAGCUUGGGAUAUUAUUGGCAAAUCAUAUCCAAAUCUCUGUCAAUUACGCUAUCCUGCAGCAGAUGAGAGUAAAGGUUAGCAAAUCAUAUCCAAAUCUCUGUCAGCUGCUAUUAUGGCAAUAUUUCCAUGUAUUACAUGCCCAUACAUGUCAACUCACAAGACAUACAAGGCAAUAUUGUUAUGUCUUUCCAUAAACCAUAAAUAUCAUGAUAACAACAAUGGUAACAUUAUCCUCCUUAGCCUAUAUAUAUAUGUGGGUGAAGGAGUGUGAUCCAAAAAAAAUUACUGAUCCUCCUUAGCCGGCUGCAUACGACUGCUCAACUUCAACUCAUCAUCUUGUAAGGCAUGGCAUCCAUGUAUGAUGUGGAUUUUUCACCACAUCAAGCCACACCUAAGGAGUCAAUGAACUUCAAGGAUGAUGCGAAGGUGCAGCCUUCGUCAGGGCAAACACCAAACAAGGGGAAUUAUUACAUGGGCCACGCGAAUGCCAUCAUGAUGAUGUUUCAGUACAUACGUGAUGGCUGCCGGCAUGUUGAGAGUUCCAUGGAAGACUUCAAGUCCAAGAAGGUAGAAGAAGGACGCGAUGAGAAAAGGAAGGUGGGAGAAGGGUAUGAUCCUCGCUGGUCUUCUCCCAUCGAGAUAACAAUGAAGAUCUGCAAUGACGACGUCUCCGAUGAAGCAACCGAGAAGGAACCAUGAUUUAGUAUUGUCGCUACUGUGUUUUGGCCUUACAAUAAAAUAACAUUUCUUGUGAAUUACACAAGAAAAUUCAGUACACAAUGUCGUUCAGGUCCAUUAAGUACUGCUUGUGAAAUGCAACCAAAUUUGAUGAAACUUUGUUAUGAUGCCUAUUCAAUAUUGCUUGUGAUUCAGUUGAUUUCUGGGACCUAUACAAAUGUGCUCUACCUCCUGUUGAACUACUUUGUAUUUGUUUGGCACGGUUGGAUGAAUAGUAAUGUCCCUUUAUAUU